CUCGUAGGCGGUUCGAUAAGUCGGCUGUGAAAUCUCCACGCUUAACGUGGAGGGGUCAGUCGAUACUGUCGUGACUCGAGUCCGGUAGGGGAGAAUGGAGUUCCCGGUGUAGCGGUGAAAUGCGCAGAGAUCGGGAGGAACACCCGUAGCGAAGGCGGUUCUCUGGGCCGGUACUGACGCUGAGGAGCGAAAGCGUGGGGAGCAAACA
rnacentral:rRNA from 1 species